GUGGGUAGUUUGACUGGGGCGGUCUCCUCCCAAAGCGUAACGGAGGAGCACGAAGGUUAGCUAAUCCUGGUCGGACAUCAGGAGGUUAGUGCAAUGGCAUAAGCUAGCUUGACUGCGAGCGUGACGGCGCGAGCAGGUGCGAAAGCAGGUCAUAGUGAUCCGGUGGUUCUGAAUGGAAGGGCCAUCGCUCAACGGAUAAAAGGUACUCCGGGGAUAACAGGCUGAUACCGCCCAAGAGUUCAUAUCGACGGCGGUGUUUGGCACCUCGAUGUCGGCUCAUCACAUCCUGGGGCUGAAGUAGGUCCCAAGGGUAUGGCUGUUCGCCAUUUAAAGUGGUACGCGAGCUGGGUUUAGAACGUCGUGAGACAGUUCGGUCCCUAUCUGCCGUGGGCGCUGGAGAAUUGAGGGGGGCUGCUCCUAGUACGAGAGGACCGGAGUGGACGCAUCACUGGUGUUCGGGUUGUCAUGCCAAUGGCACUGCCCGGUAGCUAAAUGCGGAAGAGAUAAGUGCUGAAAGCAUCUAAGCACGAAACUUGCCCCGAGAUGAGUUCUCCCUGAGACUUUAAGUCUCCUGAAGGAACGUUAAAGACGAUGACGUUGAUAGGCCGGGUGUGUAAGCGCAGCGAUGCGUUGAGCUAACCGGU
rnacentral:rRNA from 1 species